rnacentral:lncRNA from 1 species
AGGAAGGAAGGAAGGAAGGAAGCUAAGCAAUAUAACCCUGUGGCAACAUUUGUAAAAGUGACUCUGAGAAGACAGAAAGAUCCUCUAUGAGAGACUGGUGUCCCCAGGAAUUGGCGAGGCCUGCUGAGGAUCAUUUGGGUAAAUGUCAUGGUCACGCGGCCCCAUUCUCUUCGCUGAGCUCCGGAUUUCCGUAGCCAAUUGUCUGCUGGACAUUCCUCCCUGAUACAUCUCACAGAGGCUGUGGACAGGAGCACCGAGAGCCACUUCCUGGAGCAUGCUCCCCACCCCCGCAGCCUGUGGCUUCAGCCUCUGCUUCUGCAGACAGCGGUGGAGGAAGUCAGGACUGUCCCUUCUGACCUGAACACCUACCUCCAAGUCCUCCCUGUCGCCACAGAGACCCGGCAAUGCAAGUGAGUCCUGUUUGACCUCGUCAAUCAUCGCAGACUGUAAAGGUGACUCGGAUGCUCAAGAAACGAGCAUACCCAGCAGUGGGCCCCAGACUUCUCGCAGGCCCAGGUCCUCCUGGGUGCACAGAGACCUACCAGACAACGGUCCGGCUGCACUGGUGUUGUGAGAUGCCUGUGUCAGAAGACACUGAGUUCCUCACUCGCCUCCUAUCAUGCCGAUGAUCACAGGAGAAAGAGCAGGGCACAUGCAUGCCAGCAUGCUGAAGGGAGGCCAAAACCCAUGCUUGAAAACCACAGGUCCUGUUCUAGGAGCAGGAGAUAUAUUUAGCCAAGCAGGAUGUUUGUGGGUAAACCAACAUUUUGCUGUAAAUAAAAUUCUGCAAACUCGGGACUUUGAGAAUUGCAGAAGCUUACUUUGCCUGCGUAUUGGCAAGAGAGCUAUUUUCCUAACACAAGCUCACCAUGACCCUCAUUCAGAGAUGCGCUUGACGCCGAGGGUGGUGCCUUUUCGCUAAGGGGUGCUGUCAGGGGAUUGAGUAGGAGCCUGAAGAGCUAGGAGUAUCUUCUCCCUGGGCAGACCAGCAGGCAGACCCUGUCCCUUCACACUACAGUGGCACGUGAUGGGCCCCACUGCCCACCUGGUUCUGGUGUCCAGGCUGAAGUCCUCGUGUGACACUCCAAACUGUUCUGGCAAGGAAGGCUCACGGGUUCUGACCUACACUCUGAAACUGACCAGUAGUGAUAAACUCCGCAUGGACUUCAGCCAUCAUUGCGUACGUAAGAAAUACGUGUUGCACACAGAGUGCUUCUCUACAUUCCCAGGUUUGCCACUCCCCGACUUUUGCUGAAGCAGGUUUCUACUCCAUCAGUCCCACAGAUGUGUUCACAGGGCCAGCACUGAGUGUGGUGCUGGGGAAGGCAUGUGCUUGGAGGCAGCCCUGUGAGAUGGCACAGCCUAGGGGAGGAGUCGUGGUGGGGAAGACCCUGGCCACGCAUGAUAGAGGAAGCGUGGCCACACAGUCUUUGCUGUCCCUGCCACAGCAUGGUGCUGUAAGUCUCCUCCUUCCGAGUCUGUGCAGACUUAUGUGACACAUUUGACCCAACAGAAAUGCAGCAUUUGUGGUGUGUGAAAGUUCCAGACCAGGCCACAGCGAGCUCCGUGGCUUCGGCUGUGUCUCCUGGAGCACUUGCUCUCAGGACCCCCUCUCUCAGAGCCCAGGCACCACGCCGUGAGAGAGCCCCAGCCACAGAGACAGGCUACGUGUAGGUGCUUUCAUCAAAGUGCCACCUGUGCCUCCCCGCAGCAGUGUCAGGCCACCAGCUUGGACAGGCAGCUCCAGCCUCCAGUGGAGGCUUCAGAGGACAGCAUCAAACAGCAUCCACAAAGGAGACCCACCUUGUGAAAAGCGCCUAGCCAAGCCCUGCCCAAAUCCCUGGCCUGUGCAAUUGUGAGCAAAGCAAUUCAAUUUGGAGUGGUUUUAUGCUGCAGUAGGUGACCAAAGCACUAUGGAAGUGAAUAUCAGGAGCCCCUCACUGGGAUGUCAGAAGACAUUCAAGGAAGGUUUCCUGGAAGAUUUAGUACCUCAGGUGGUACAGGAGAAGGUGAGAUGGAGAGAAAGCAACCCCAGUCUGAAGACGCAGUGGUAAGAAAGGGUCAUUCCCCUGGGCAUGUGUGGUCUGCUGGGGGAUGACAGCCGAGGUGAACUUGAAGCAGAGGACACUCAGACAAGCUGCACUCUGAAUCCCGCUACGCUGACCGCAGCACUUGCUGAAGAAGCCGCCUCGCCACGCCCAAGCCCUGCAGAGGGAAGGACUGAGGAAGGCAGCUCAGAGGCCUCAGGCAGCCACAGUGUGCAUGCUUGUCUAUGACUCACAGCUACGACGUGGCCUGUGCUGCUGCAGCUGCUGAUAAGCCUCAAACCUCAUAUACCACUCUCUUCCGAGGAUUUUUUAAAUACACAAAACUGGGAGUGAGAGGGGUAUUUAAUUCCCCUACUAACACAUGUUGGGCGCAGCUGGAGCAGCCAGGCCCACUGUAGCUGGGAAGAUGCGGUGCCUUGAGGUGCAGGCACUGCUCACUGCCACAUGUGAGCACAGGUUCUGAGGGUGAAAGGUCCCUGGUAUCUGGCCAGAGUGUUAGACUCUGGAACAUAAGAAGCCCCCGAGGUGGUGGAGAAGGUCUAGCCAGGCUCCAGACUGGCUUCACAGAGGUAAUGCUUUUUGGUUUGAAAUCCGUAAGAGCGCACUACAACUUCAGGGCAAGCUCCAACAGUGCUUCUCAAACUUUAAUGAGCACCCAAAUCAUCAGGGGGCGCGGGGGCAGUGGGUCGCUUACUAAAAUGAAGAUUCUGCAUCAGGAGGUCUGGGGCGGUGACACGAUUCUGUGUUUCUAACACGUUCCUGGGUGAGGCUGAAGCCACUAGUCCAUGAAGCACACUUUGAGUAGCAAGAAUGUGGAGGAACUGUCCCAGGAUGGGCCAUGAUUUACCUGAAUUCUCACAGUGGCUUAGACAAUGGAGACCUUGUCCACAACUAAAAAAUAAAAAUAAAAUCGAACCACACUCAUUGUUCCAGGAAACAGCAAUAACAUUGGAAAUAAAUCAAAUGGUUUAUUAC